rnacentral:sRNA from 1 species
UUCGUUAGGAUUAAUAUUUUUAUAAAUACUAUUU